rnacentral:rRNA from 1 species
CAAUACAAAGGGCAGCGAAACCGCGAGGUCAAGCAAAUCCCAUAAAGUUGUUCUCAGUUCGGAUUGUAGUCUGCAACUCGACUACAUGAAGCUGGAAUCGCUAGUAAUCGUAGAUCAGCAUGCUACGGUGAAUACGUUCCCGGGUCUUGUACACACCGCCCGUCACACCACGAGAGUUUGUAACACCCGAAGCCGGUGGAGUAACCUUUUAGGAGCUAGCCGUCGAAGGUGGGACAAAUGAUUGGGGUGAAGUCGUAACAAGGUAGCCGUAUCGGAAGGUGCGGCUGGAUCACCUCCUUU